rnacentral:rRNA from 1 species
UACGGAGGGGGCUAGCGUUGUUCGGAAUUACUGGGCGUAAAGCGCGCGUAGGCGGACCUGCAAGUCGGGGGUGAAAGCCCGAGGCUCAACCUCGGAACUGCCUUCGAUACUGCGGGUCUCGAGUCCGGGAGAGGUGAGUGAAUUCCUAGUGUAGAGGUGAAAUUCGUAGAUAUUAGGAAGAACACCAGUGGCGAAGGCGGCUCACUGGCCCGGUACUGACGCUGAGGCGCGAAAGCGUGGGGAGCAAACAGG